ACGCUCGACACCUACGGGAGGUAGCAGCCGGGAAUAUUGCGCAAUGGAGGAAACUCUGACGCAGUGACGCCGCGUGCAGGAAGAAGGUUUUCGGAUUGUAAACUGCUUUAGACAGGGAAGAAAGAAAUGACAGUACCUGUAGAAUAAGCUCCGGCUAACUACGUGCCAGCAGCCGCGGUAAUCUGAGGCGGCUGGCGAAGGC
rnacentral:rRNA from 1 species